CCUACGGGAGGCAGCAGUGGGGAAUAUUGGACAAUGGGGGCAACCCUGAUCCAGCGAUGCCGCGUGAGUGAUGAAGGCCUUAGGGUUGUAAAACUCUUUCAGAUGGGAAGAUAAUGACGGCACCAUCAGAAGAAGCUCCGGCUAACUCCGUGCCAGCAGCCGCGGUAAU
rnacentral:rRNA from 1 species